UCAAGAAACUUCCACAAUGGGCGAAAGCCUGAUGGAGCGACGUCGCGUGAUGGACGAAGUGCUUCGGCACGUAAACAUCUUUUAUGUGGGAUGAAAUUAUUGACAGUACCACAUGAAUAAGGGGCUCCUAACUCUGUGCCAGCAGGAGCGGUAAUACAGAGGCCCCAAGCGUUAUCCGGAAUCACUGGGCGUAAAGGGUGUCGAGGCGGUUGUAUUAGUCGUUCGUAAAAUCUACGAGCUUAACUUGUAGGCGGCGAACGAAACGGUACGACUUGAGGUUUGGAGAGGUGCGUGGAACUCACGGUGUAGGGGUGAAAUGCGUAGAUAUCGGGAGGAACACCUGUGGCGAAGGCGGCCACCUGGUUGGAUACUGACGCUGAGACGCGAAAGCGUGGGGAGCAAACAGGAUUAGAUACCCCAGUAGUCCCUGAGCGGGCUGGCAAGGCGCAU
rnacentral:rRNA from 1 species